GAUGAACGCUGGCGGCGUGCCUAAUACAUGCAAGUCGAGCGAACAGACGAGGAGCUUGCUCCUCUGACGUUAGCGGCGGACGGGUGAGUAACACGUGGAUAACCUACCUAUAAGACUGGGAUAACUUCGGGAAACCGGAGCUAAUACCGGAUAAUAUAUUGAACCGCAUGGUUCAAUAGUGAAAGACGGUUUUGCUGUCACUUAUAGAUGGAUCCGCGCCGCAUUAGCUAGUUGGUAAGGUAACGGCUUACCAAGGCAACGAUGCGUAGCCGACCUGAGAGGGUGAUCGGCCACACUGGAACUGAGACACGGUCCAGACUCCUAAGGGAGGCAGCAGUAGGGAAUCUUCCGCAAUGGGCGGAAGCUUGUCGGGGCAACGCCGCGUGAGUGAUGAAGGUCUUCGGAUCGUAAAACUCUGUUAUUAGGGAAGAACAAAUGUGUAAGUAACUAUGCACGUCUUGACGGUACCUGAUCAGAAAGCCACGGCUAACUACGUG
rnacentral:rRNA from 1 species